rnacentral:misc_RNA from 1 species
GAUGAAGAACGCAGCGAAAUGCGAUAAGUAAUGUGAAUUGCAGAAUUCAGUGAAUCAUCGAAUCUUUGAACGCAUCUUGCGCUCCUUGCUAUUCUGAGGAGCAUGCCUGUUUGAGUGUCAUUAAAUUCUCAACUACACUGACUUUGAAUUGGUGUGGCUUGGAUUUGGGGGGAAAAUUGUUGUGGGCUUUUUGUAUAGUCUGCUCCCCUGAAAUUGAUUAGCGGUACCUUUGUGGAACUGUCUACAGGUGUGAUAAUUAUCUACAUCUUAGACAUCUGCUGGAAUGCUGCUCUCUAAACCUUACUUGUAUUGACAAUCUUGACCUCAAAUCAGGUAGGACUACCCGCUGAACUUAAGCAUAUCAAUAAGCGGAGGA